UUUCAGCCUGGUGCUGGUCACGUGGGCAUUUCAUUUAUACCUCUUCACAGAGGGAAAGCUAACGGUUCUGAAGUACAGGAUCCAUCACAAAGUCUGAGUUCUGUCUCUGGUACGAAGAAUAGAAUCUUGUGUAAGCUUGAACCUUCCUUUCAGUUUUCCAACUCAGCAAUGGAGAGCGCAACUAAGUGGAACCCUGUCUGCUUGGAAACAUUAGAUGAGGCUCGCCAGAUUUACAGCCACAUGAAGCGUCUUGAUCAACAAGUUACCGCUGUAUCAGUAGUUUCUGCACUUGAAGCUGAGCUAGAGCAGGCCCGUACACACAUUCAGGAGCUUGAGGCUGAGCGCCGAUCCUCAAAAAAGAAACUGGAGCACUUUUUGAACAAAGUCAGUGAAGAAAAGGCUGCUUGGAGGAGCAGAGAGCAUGAGAAAAUUCGUGCAUUUAUUGGUGACAUUAAAGCUGAUUUGAACCGCGAAAGGAAAAAUAACCAAAGGUUGGAAAUUGUAAAUUCCAAAUUGGUUAAUGAGCUGGCUGAUGCGAAGGUUUCGGCAAAGCGAUUUAUGCUGGAUUAUGAAAAAGAAAGAAAGGCCAGAGAAUUGGUUGAGGAAGUAUGCGAUGAGCUUGCUAAGGAAAUUGGAGAGGACAAGGCUGAAGUUGAAGCAUUAAAGAGGGAAUCAUUGAAACUGCGGGAGGAAGUGGAUGAGGAAAGGAAGAUGUUGCAGAUGGCUGAGGUAUGGCGUGAAGAGCGUGUUCAAAUGAAGCUGGUUGAUGCAAAGGUGGCACUUGAAGAGAAGUAUUCUCAAAUGAACAAGCUUGUAGCAGAUUUAGAAAAUUUUCUAAGAUCUAGAGGUGCAGCCCCAGAUUUGAAGGAAAUGAGAGAAGCAGAAUCACUUAUACAUGCUGCUGCCUCUUUUAGCAUUCAGGACAUAAAGGACUUCAAAUAUGUGCCACCUAACCCAGAUGAUAUUUUCUCUGUUUUUGAAGAAGUUAAUUCUGGUGAACCUAAUGAGAGGGAGAUUGAGCAAUGUGUUGCUUACAGUCCUGCCAGCCAUGCCUCAAAAAUUCAUACCGUGAGUCCUGAAGUGAACAUGAUAAACAAGGAUGGCAGCCAUAAGCAUUCUGAUGUAUUUGUUGACCGGAAUGGCGAUAUAGAAGAUGAUGAGAGUGGGUGGGAAACUGUGAGCCAUCUUGAGGAUCAAGGGUCAAGUUACUCACCAGAAGGGAGUGUCCCAUCUUUCAACAAGAAUCCCCGGGAUAGCAAUGUCUCAGGGAGUGGAACAGAAUGGGAAGAUAAUACAUUUGAUGAAACCCCAUUUACUGAAAUCAGCGAACUCUGUUCUGUGCCAACAAGACAGCCAAAGAAGGUUUCAUCCAUUGUGAAGCUAUGGAGAUCGUGCCCAAACAAUGGGGAUAACUGCAAAAUAAUCUCAGUAGAUGGGAUGAACAGUAGGCCUGCUAACGGAAGGAAAUCUAAUGGGGGCAUUAUGUCUCCUGAUAGAGGGUCAGCUAAAGGUGUACUCAGCCCAGAUUUUGUUGGGCAGUGGAGUUCAUCUGACUCAGGUAACCCUCACAUAGGUCGAGGAAUGAAAGGUUGUAUUGAAUGGCCACGUGGAGCGCAGAAGAACAGCUUGAAAGCAAAGCUUAUGGAGGCAAGGAUGGAGAGCCAGAAAGUCCAAUUGCGCCAUGUUCUUAAACAGAAGAUCUAGAUGUAGUAAUUGCAGAGAAAGCCAGAUGGAAAUAAGUAGUGUCAUAUCCGACCAUGCAGGAGGUAGCCCUUUUUCUUGAUGUAAAUGCUCAAAAAGGAUAAAAAUGUAUCAUCGGCUUCAUGGACUGAAGCCCCAUUUGGUAUACACGUAAUGCUUUUUUGC
rnacentral:misc_RNA from 1 species